rnacentral:rRNA from 1 species
UCGCGACGUAGUUGAUCGAUGGCUACAGGACGACGCUGGCGGCGUGCCUAACACAUGCAAGUCGAACGGGGUACCUUCGGGUACUUAGUGGCGAACGGGUGAGUAACGCGUGAGGAACCUACCUUCCAGAGGGGGACAACAGUUGGAAACGACUGCUAAUACCGCAUAAGACCACGGUAUCGCAUGAUACAGUGAUCAAAGGAGCAAUCCGCUAAAAGAUGGGCCCGCGUCUGAUUAGAUAGUUGGUGGGGUAACGGCCUACCAAGUCAACGAUCAGUAGCCGGACUGAGAGGUUGAUCGGCCACAUUGGGACUGAGACACGGCCCAGACUCCUACGGGAGGCAGCAGUGGGGAAUAUUGCACAAUGGGGGAAACCCUGAUGCAGCGACGCCGCGUGAGGGAAGAAGGUAUUCGUAUUGUAAACCUCUGUCUUCGGGGACGAUAAUGACGGUACCCGAGGAGGAAGCACCGGCUAACUACGUG